rnacentral:misc_RNA from 1 species
AACCUUAUGGACCUGCGGGCGUAUACCUGCGGAAGGAUCAUUAUGAAUUGAUUUGAGUUUGGUUUCCUCUGUGUUAGGGGGAGCCUCUCAUAUUUAUUCUGUGAACUGGUAUUGUUUUCUUUUUUUUCUUUUGGUUUGACUUGUAGCCUUAUUUGUAUAAAUGGGGUGAAACAAACUAAGAAGAAUCAAACAAUAUGCCUUUUUUUGUUAUCUUAUUUUUUUAUUCCAUAUUUUUUUUUU